rnacentral:rRNA from 1 species
CACGUAGGCGGGUAUUUAAGUCAGGGGUGAAAUCCCAGAGCUCAACUCUGGAACUGCCUUUGAUACUGGGUACCUAGAGUAUGGAAGAGGUGAGUGGAAUUCCGAGUGUAGAGGUGAAAUUCGUAGAUAUUCGGAGGAACACCAGUGGCGAAGGCGGCUUACUGGUCCAUUACUGACGCUGAGGUGCGAAAGCAUGGGUAGCAAACA